UAGGGAAUCUUGCGCAAUGGGCGAAAGCUUGACGCAGCUACGCCACGUGGAUGAUGAAGGCCUUCGGGUCGUAAAGUCCUUUUCUGAAGGAAGAACGGCCUCGUGAGGAAAUGCACGGGGUAUGACGGUACUUCAGGAAUAAGCCACGGCUAACUCUGUGCCAGCAGCCGCGGUAAUACAGAGGUGGCAAGCGUUGUUCGGAAUUACUGGGCGUAAAGGGAGCGCAGGCGGCCAGGUCAGUCUGAAGUGCAAGCCCGGGGCUCAACCCCGGAAUUGCUUUGGAUACUACUUGGCUUGAGUACGUCAGAGGUGAGCGGAAUUCCAGGUGUAGCGGUGAAAUGCGUAGAUAUCUGGAGGAACAUCGGUGGCGAAAGCGGCUCACUGGGACGAAACUGACGCUGAGGCUCGAAAGCGUGGGGAGCGAACGGGAUUAGAUACCCCGGUAGUCCACGCUGUAAACGUUGUGCACUAGGUGU
rnacentral:rRNA from 1 species